GCACAAUCCCUUGCCUCUUAAUUAGUGGCUCGUAUGAACGGACCGACGAAAGCCCAGCUGUCUCCAUAAAUUACCCAAAAAUUAGCCUUCAAGUGAAGAGACUUGAAUUAAAAUAAAAGACAAGAAGACCCUGUAGAGCCUAAGCAAAGCCUAAUAAAUUACACUACAAAUAAAGUCUCACUAUUAUAAUACGCUUCAGUUGGGGCGACUAAGGAAUACCAAAACCUUCCUUCUCUAUCCAGGCUUGUUCGCCUAAUAAAAGAUCCACUCACGUGACUAAAGCCCAGGCUACCUCAGGGAUAACAGUCUAAUCUUCCUCAAGAGCUCAAAUUGCCAGGAAGGAUUGGCAACCUCGAUGUUGGCUUAGGGGCCCUCUAUGGCGCAGCCGCCAUAAAAGUAGGUUUGUUCAACCUUUAAAACCCU
rnacentral:rRNA from 1 species